rnacentral:lncRNA from 1 species
UGUGAUGCCUCCCUGGGCUACAUGACAGAGGGUGCACUGCAAAGGAUGUGAAGGAAAGUCACCACAGGGCAAAGGUGGAAACCCAGGGGCCUUUCCCCAGUGAGACUUUCUGGCUGUUCCUUUGGAACUUCCACCUGCUAGUUGCAGAUGUUUGCCACUGGAUGGGGCCCCAUGCUACGUGGGAACUGUUCAGGACUGUGGGUACUUAGUUCCAGCAGAGCUGGCUCCACCAGGGCACCAGGACUGCAGGCUUCUCAACUCCUGGCCUGGAGAGGCAGCUUCAGCAACCAGUGCCUGGGAAUCCACUAGCCCUUUCUCUGUGAGUCACGUGAGGGCAGAAUCUGCUCAAAGUCAGAGGGCUGGAGCAACCUGGAUUGUGCCAGAGUGAGGGCCCAGCUCAC